AAACAUCUUCUCUCUCAGUUGAUGAUUUAGGAGAAGAUAAGAGUUCAGAAAAUGGGGAAGAUGGUGGAUUUUUGAACUUGGAAAUGCCAGAUGAUGUGGAUGUGUGUAUAGAAUUGAAAGAUUGGUUAUUUGCACUUGAGGGUGCACAAGAGAUUGCAGAAAGGUGGUGGUUUUCCAACCCUGAAGAUGUAGNUUUCUGAUCAUGAACAUGUGGGCAGAGAAGUGAGUUGCUGGCAUACAACUUUCCAAAGUUUGUUAGUAAAAGCAAAAAAAACCAUUCCAAGGCAAGAACUGAAUGGAAAAGGGAAAUCACAUGAAAGACAGAAAUAUCCUGUGGAAUUGGUGAUAGUUGGUGUGAAAGGCUUGCAGAUCUUGAAGCCACUUGGACAAAAGGGCAUUUCUGUGUCUGAGAAUGGGAUAAAACAAGUUAUUGAGACUGGAGGGAUAAAUCUUGAAGCUCACAUGGUGAUGUCAGGGGAAAAUGUUGAUGAUGACAUGCCCACGUGGAUAGUGGAAAACUUGAAAUUCUCUGUUAACCAACCGAUUGAAGCUGUUGUGACCAAAGAUGAGCUCCAGCANNNNNNNNUCUGCUGUCGAAGUCUGAAGUUGAGGCAAUGGGUCGGAUAGCUGCUGGGGUCCUGAAGCUACUCAAAUUGGAGCGUUCCAUUGGCCAGGCAACCAUAUACCAAC
rnacentral:misc_RNA from 1 species